rnacentral:rRNA from 1 species
UACGGGGGGGGGCAAGCGUUGUUCGGAAUUACUGGGCGUAAAGGGCGCGUAGGCGGCGUUUUUAAGUCGGGGGUGAAAGCCUGUGGCUCAACCACAGAAUGGCCUCGAUACUGGGACGCUUGAGUAUGGUAGAGGUUGGUGGAACUGCGAGUGUAGAGGUGAAAUCCGUAGAUAUUCGCAAGAACACCGGUGGCGAAGGCGGCCAACUGGACCAUUACUGACGCUGAGGCGCGAAAGCGUGGGGAGCAAACAGG